CGAAAACGUUUGUUUAUCGAUCUUUUGCAUGAUUGUAUCGAGUGCUGGCUUAACCGACAUUUACUGUAUUAUAUUCUUACUUAUUUAAUAGGAAUCCGAAAAUAAAAAUAUAUAUACAUAUGUUCCGAAUGCAGAAAAGCUUUCGGUUUUCCAUCAAAAUUACAAGAACAUGAGAUUACUCAUUCUGACGAUAAAAAUUAAAUUUGUUCCCAAUGUCCGAAACAAUAUAAACACAAUGAAAGCUUAAAAAGACACCAAACAAAAACAUCAAAUAGUAAUGCAACAACAGGUCCAAGAAGAAGACAAAAAAUGGAAAAAGGAAAUUAGGAUGUUUUUAGUUUACGGAGUUGUGACUAUUGUCACGUUAUCAGCAACAUACCUUGGAAUAAACAAUCUCCGAACAGUAUAGCAGCUAUCCUAUUGCUUUUUUAUAGAAUAUCU